rnacentral:rRNA from 1 species
CAGCAGCCGCGGUAAUACGAAGGGGGCUAGCGUUGUUCGGAAUUACUGGGCGUAAAGGGCGCGUAGGCGGCCAUUCAAGUUGGAUGUGAAAGCCCUGGGCUCAACCUAGGAAUUGCAUUUGAUACUGUUUGGCUUGAGUUCGGGAGAGGUGAGUGGAAUUCCCAGUGUAGAGGUGAAAUUCGUAGAUAUUGGGAAGAACACCAGUGGCGAAGGCGGCUCACUGGACCGACACUGACGCUGAGGCGCGAAAGCGUGGGGAGCAAACAGGAUUAGAUACCCGCGUAGUCCCUGUCUCUUAUAC